UUUUCUUAGAUAUUAAAGUUUUACAUAACAAUAUAGGCGAGGAGCAAUAGAAAUGCAGAAAAUCGAGCUAAGUUAAAGAUAUAUCAUCAUAUUGGUAGCAAGCCUAUUAGAGAGAUUAUUUAUCAGCAGGGCGGAAAAGAUGGCAAUCCACCAAAUUUGGCAACUAUUUUCUUCGAGACUUGUAAGAAAGAUAACAUGCUUGUUGAACCAGAAGCAAUUGAAAAACAUGCUCAAAUAGAAGAAAUACUAAAAGUUGAGCCAUCUCUGCCUAGCAUAGAGAUUGUAGAAAAGUGUUGUGGACCUCAAACUCGUAGCCAUGUAUUUGGAUUUGGUGGUGGAGUAAAGGCAAA